GCGGCGUGCUUAACACAUGCAAGUCGAACGGAAAGGCCCUGCUUUUGUGGGGUGCUCGAGUGGCGAACGGGUGAGUAACACGUGAGUAACCUGCCCUUGACUUUGGGAUAACUUCAGGAAACUGGGGCUAAUACCGGAUAGGAGCUCCUGCUGCAUGGUGGGGGUUGGAAAGUUUCGGCGGUUGGGGAUGGACUCGCGGCUUAUCAGCUUGUUGGUGGGGUAGUGGCUUACCAAGGCUUUGACGGGUAGCCGGCCUGAGAGGGUGACCGGCCACAUUGGGACUGAGAUACGGCCCAGACUCCUACGGGAGGCAGCAGUGGGGAAUAUUGCACAAUGGGCGGAAGCCUGAUGCAGCAACGCCGCGUGCGGGAUGACGGCCUUCGGGUUGUAAACCGCUUUCGCCUGUGACGAAGCGUGAGUGACGGUAAUGGGUAAAGAAGCACCGGCUAACUACGUGCCAGCAGCCGCGGUGAUACGUAGGGUGCGAGCGUUGUCCGGAUUUAUUGGGCGUAAAGGGCUCGUAGGUGGUUGAUCGCGUCGGAAGUGUAAUCUUGGGGCUUAACCCUGAGCGUGCUUUCGAUACGGGUUGACUUGAGGAAGGUAGGGGAGAAUGGAAUUCCUGGUGGAGCGGUGGAAUGCGCAGAUAUCAGGAGGAACACCAGUGGCGAAGGCGGUUCUCUGGGCCUUUCCUGACGCUGAGGAGCGAAAGCGUGGGGAGCGAACAGGCUUAGAUACCCUGGUAGUCCACGCUGUAAACGGUGGGUACUAGGUGUGGGGUCCAUUCCACGGGUUCCGUGCCGUAGCUAACGCUUUAAGUACCCCGCCUGGGGAGUACGGCCGCAAGGCUAAAACUCAAAGGAAUUGACGGGGCCCCGCACAAGCGGCGGAGCAUGCGGAUUAAUUCGAUGCAACGCGUAGAACCUUACCUGGGUUUGACAUGGAUCGGGAGUGCUCAGAGAUGGGUGUGCCUCUUUUGGGGUCGGUUCACAGGUGGUGCAUGGCUGUCGUCAGCUCGUGUCGUGAGAUGUUGGGUUAAGUCCCGCAACGAGCGCAACCCUUGUUCACUGUUGCCAGCACGUUAUGGUGGGGACUCAGUGGAGACCGCCGGGGUCAACUCGGAGGAAGGUGGGGAUGACGUCAAGUCAUCAUGCCCCUUAUGUCCAGGGCUUCACGCAUGCUACAAUGGCUGGUACAGAGAGUGGCGAGCCUGUGAGGGUGAGCGAAUCUCGGAAAGCCGGUCUCAGUUCGGAUUGGGGUCUGCAACUCGACCUCAUGAAGUCGGAGUCGCUAGUAAUCGCAGAUCAGCAACGCUGCGGUGAAUACGUUCCCGGGGCUUGUACACACCGCCCGUCAAGUCAUGAAAGUUGGUAACACCCGAAGCCGGUGGCCUAACCGUUGUGGGGGAGCCGUCGAAGGUGGGACUGGUGAUUAGGACUAAGUCAUAA
rnacentral:rRNA from 1 species